UGAUAUAGCUCAAUUGGCAGAGCAUAAGGCUGUUAAUCUCAGGGUUGUGGGUUCGAAACCCACAUUGGGGAAAAG